ensembl:lncRNA
AUGCAUAGAACCAGGACGGUCUUAUGUGUAUAUUCCACGAUUUGCAGGACACCGGUGGGAAAUGGUCUGGGGUUAGUAACUCGGAGCUUUCAACAAGCAACUGUAUUUUUCCUGCAUUAUUGUUCAUCUUCAUUAGACUCUGUCGCCUUCCUGUUUUGCCUGUAUUUGAAAGUGAAGAAAGAACAUACCACUAUCUUCUGUAAGCAUUAUUCAUGCCAUAGUAACCCCAAUCAUACAUAAACAUGAAACAAAUCUCUGCUACUUCUAGUUUUUUUCAGAUACAUGUGAAUAUGUACCUCAAACUUACCUCAAAGAAAAAGAAGGUCAUGUAUUGAUAGAUGAGUCAUUCUUCUGGCUGUGUUUUCUGAUGACUUUUAAACAGGAAAAACAACAUUUUUAAGAAACAUUAACUAUAUACUAAACUAUGUUAUUUUCAUCUAUGGAAAAAUAUUCUUGGCUGCCAGUGUUUGAGGUAGAGUUAGUUUAUAAUAGAAGUUAAUUUAUAAUCUUCUAAGAAAAUGAUAUACAGUAUGAAAUCCCCCUGCAAUAUCACAGAUACUGUACAGUUUGUACUUUUUAUGCCAGAUCUGCAGGACAGUAUAUCAGUUUAAUUUUAAACUAUACAGCCAUCAUUUAUGUCUGUCACUGUACUGUUUUGCAGAAAAGCAUUAGGAAUAUGUCAAAACAAAGUGAUUUCUUCUAGUGAUACAUCAUGAUCAUUUAAGAAGCUGCAGUAAUUAUGGAACUAUGGAAAAGCAAAUAUUUUUGACAAAUCUAGUAACUCCUGUGUACCCAUUAUGUUAUCUAUUUAUGUGUGAAUUACUUUCAUAACUUACCAAAGGGUUUUUAAAAUCUCCAGUGACAAUUUGAUGUAAUAUUGUAAAGUAUGACUAAAGCAUUGAGGACAAUGUCUUUCGUUUUUGUUUGUACUGUACUGUAUUUAUCUUUGAUAGUUUUGACUGCACACUGCUGUUUGAAUGUAACCAGUGGUGUUUUAUUCUGUGGAUUUGAGAAACACGCAUAUGUGUGCGUGUGUGUGUGUGUACAUACAAUGUCUCUUUUAUAUUAUUUCAGUAAUUUAGAUAAUGUUGCUAUCUUGUGUGUAUCUGCAUACUAAUACAGUAUAGUAUAAAACUAGCCCUCAAUUUUAGUUGUGUUUUUCUUUGUGUUCUGGUAUGUUUUUCUGUUGAAUGUACAUUUACCAGUGGACCAUGUUUGGUGGUAUAUUUAUUAAAGCACCAGAUCUUGCUUCAUCUUCAAAAACACUAGCAGGAGUUAUCAUAUAAAUGUUUAUUUAUAAUAUACACUUAGUAAACACAAUUUAUUUUUAGUGUCAAAGUCAAAUCUGACAAAUUUUUAAAAACUGCAUAAUGCAUUAACACUUUGUUGCUCUAUGGUGGGCUUUUCUUUUUAUGUCAUUCAGGUCCCUAAUGCAAUGCAUGCAUAGUCUGUUACAGAAAUAUUUGUUAAGUGAGGGUCAUUACUAAGACUCUAGAAAUACAAAUGAUCCAGGGUCCCACAUAGUCAGUAAUCACUGUGAUUUUUGCUAUACAAAUUCUAAUCACAAUACAAACUCCUACUUUUCAUCUUGAUUCUGUUCUACACUUCUCCUGCAACACAGAUAACAUAACUGAUCUCCACAAUCACUGUGUUGUUGUAUGAUAGCAUUACAUUGUACCACUAUGUGUGAUUAUUGUGCAUAGUUGGUGUUAAAAUAGAUCGAUGUGGCAGUGUGUCAGAUGGCCAGUGUAAACUGGACACAAUAGCCGUUGGCACACAGUGUGUGAAAAUGUCUAUUAAUGCAGCAAUAGGCCUGUGUGUGCCGUAGGGAUGUUUCCCUUCUUUCCCUUCUUUCUACUUCAAUAAAUUUUUUGUCCCAUAGUUUGUAAAAUCCUCUUAUUAUCAUAGACC